rnacentral:rRNA from 1 species
UACGUAGGCAGCGAGCGUUGUUCGGAGUUACUGGGCGUAAAGGGUGUGUAGGUGGAUCGUUAAGUACCUUGUGAAAUCCCACGGCUUAACCGUGGAACUGCUUGGCAUACUGGCGGUCUUGAGCCACUUAGGGGCAACCGGAACAAAUGGUGGAGCGGUGAAAUGCGUAGAUAUCAUUUGGAACGCCAAUGGUGAAAACAGGUUGCUGGGAGUGUGCUGACGCUGAGACACGAAAGCCAGGGGAGCGAACGGG